rnacentral:rRNA from 1 species
UACGUAGGGUGCAAGCGUUGUCCGGAAUUAUUGGGCGUAAAGAGCUCGUAGGCGGCUUGUCGCGUCGGCUGUGAAAACCUGCAGCUUAACUGUGGGCUUGCGGUCGAUACGGGCAUCACUGGAGUUCGGCAGGGGAGACUGGAAUUCCUGGUGUAGCGGUGAAAUGCGCAGAUAUCAGGAGGAACACCGGUGGCGAAGGCGGGUCUCUGGGCCGAUACUGACGCUGAGGAGCGAAAGCGUGGGGAGCGAACAGG